UAAUGUAUGCAUAUUAUAUUAUAAGUCAAUUAUUUGUUAAAUUUUUUGUCAAUUAGAAAAGUAAUUUGAAAUUAAAAAUCAUUUGUUUUAGAAUCAAAUAAUGAACUUAAUAGAAAUUACAUCGAAUGAUUGAAAAGGGCCUAGAUUUGAAGUUAUCACUGCACAUUCACACGGGAUCCAAUUAAUUUGUUUAUAGUUAUACGACACUAUAAUAGAGAAAAUAUGUUUAUCAGCUUAAUUGCUGAUGUCGCCGGCGAGGCCAUGUGGUAUGGCCUCAGCAGUGGCGCAACUAGACUUUUGGAGGCCCUAAAUGCUAAAGUCAAAUAUAAAAUGGGGCUCCCUAGCAAAAAAUGUAUAUGGUCUUAAACAAUUAAGGGUACACGGUAUACCGCUUCCUCCCCACCCAUAAGGUUGGCUCCGAAAAUGCAUGACCAAUUUGGCUGAUUCUUUUUAUGAUGUGUUCGCAAUUAAUAAAGGUUAAUAUGAAAAUUUAA